rnacentral:rRNA from 1 species
UAAGUGAUGGCGACCGGCGCACGGGUGAGUAACACGUAUCCAACCUGCCGAUAACUCGGGGAUAGCCUUUCGAAAGAAAGAUUAAUACCCGAUGGUAUAAUAAAGCCGCAUGGUUUAAUUAUUAAAGAAUUCGGUUAUCGAUGGGGAUGCGUUCCAUUAGGCAGUUGGUGAGGUAACGGCUCACCAAACCUUCGAUGGAUAGGGGUUCUGAGAGGAAGGUCCCCCACAUUGGAACUGAGACACGGUCCAA